rnacentral:rRNA from 1 species
UACAGAGGGGGCUAGCGUUAUUCGGAAUUAUUGGGCGUAAAGGGCGCGUAGGCGGCCAUGCGUGUCUUCCGUGAAAUCCCUCGGCUUAACUGAGGACGUGCGGAAGAAACUGCAAGGCUCGAGUCCGGGAGAGGGAUGUGGAAUUCCAGGUGUAGCGGUGAAAUGCGUAGAUAUCUGGAGGAACACCGGUGGCGAAGGCGGCAUCCUGGACCGGUAUUGACGCUGAGGAGCGAAAGCCAGGGGAGCAAACGGG